CUAUUGUUUAAUUCUUACAAGCCAAUCCAACAUGACAGGAUACAACUUUGAUUUUGCGAAGCGCCUGCUGUCACACAUAAACGCCAAAAAGGAUAUUCAUAUGAUCAUGGCAGAUGUUAAUGCAAGUUUGAUUUGUUUUUUUUUUUUAACAAAAAUAUGAGCAAAAAAUGUGUGAAAUUUUAGGUAAAAAAAUAUAUAAGAAUGCUAACCCAAAGUGUUGUGUUCCCUCAAAAAAAUAUAAAAAGUAAACAAAAAAUGUGAGACAUUUUAAGUAAAAAAGGUAUGAACCGCCAGCCGUACUGUUACUCAAGUUAUGUCCACUCAAAAAAAUAAAAUAAAUAAAAAUUUGAACAGAAUGCGUCACAUCGCUUUUACGGGAAAGCAGAAUCCAUGGGAAGUGUUAUCUCUCACAUGUACUUUUUCGAAGGAGUAUAU
rnacentral:lncRNA from 1 species